UACGUAGGGUGCGAGCGUUGUCCGGAAUUAUUGGGCGUAAAGGGCUCGUAGGCGGUCCAUCGCGUCGGGAGUGAAAAGCUGGGGCUUAACCCCAGUCCUGCUUUCGAUACGGGUGGACUAGAGGUAGGCAGGGGAGAAUGGAAUUCCUGGUGUAGCGGUGAAAUGCGCAGAUAUCAGGAGGAACACCGGUGGCGAAGGCGGUUCUCUGGGCCUUACCUGACGCUGAGAAGCGAAAGCAUGGGGAGCAAACAGG
rnacentral:rRNA from 1 species